rnacentral:sRNA from 1 species
CAACACAAAAUCAGCAAUACAUGUAUAAUCUUCAGAAAUCCAGACUUUGUAAUGUAUAUACUGGUACUUCAUGUUUCCAUCCAAAUUGGAUAAUGUUUUAACAGCAUAAUGGUUUUGUAUGUUAUAUGCAUUUAAUAUGUGUUUAUUAUAAUUAUUUAUCAAAUUAUUUUCAUCAAUAUGUAUACAUGUAUUAAACAAUUACUAGCAUCAAAACAUAGGUAGCUCUGAUGGUUAGUCUCAUGCAUACUUCUCAACUCCAUUUAUUUCAAUUACCGGUACAACCAUGAAUUUUUUCUAAUUAAAAUGCAAUGUUGUUAAACUUUCAAAUUAGCAUUAGCUAUAGAUUAUAUGGUAGAUUUUUUUCUCUUGUAUUUGAAUUUGAUUCAAACAUAAUAGCCCCCAUAUUGUUAUAGAGAAGUAUAUUUUAACUGUGAAUGGUUUGCAAGUCCAGUACAUGUACAUAUAUUUACACACAGUGUGAUUUUUGUAUGGACUAGUAGCCUAUAAUUUAUGUACAUACAUGAAAGUACACACAAAUUGUAUCAUUUGUGUGUUACUACAGAAAAGUUUUGUUGUAAUCUUUUCAUUGAGUUUUAUGUAUAUGAAUAUGGAAUAGUUUUGAAGCUGAUUUCAUUUUAUAAAAACUCUUUAUAUGGUUCGAUAUGCUUUUAAAUGCCGUGGUUUGGUAAUUUUGAAACCAUGUAUUGUUACAUUCAUUGUAGAAGGUCCUUUCUGGAUAUCAGCACAGGGAGCAAAAAUCUUUCCAAAGGUUUAAUUAUAAUUUUUCCUCAUUCAUUGUCAUAGCUCCAUGGUUACAAGAGCAAUUAAAUUUUGUUGUUUUUUUUGGUCUUUUUUUCACAGUAAAAGUGCAUCUGAAUCAUUUUUCUUUUAUUUAGUAUUUAUUUAAAAAAAAAGAAAUUGAAAUAAAAAACGCUGGUUGUUGUUGAUGAUGGCAGCAAAAUCCUGCUGUGAUGACAUAAUUUAAGUAGUGGAAUGCCCCAUGUGGUUUUUUUUACCCCCGUUUGUGUUUUUUUUUUUGUAGGUCAAGGUGUCCAUGAUACAGAAAUUGUAAAGCACUAAUUGUUUUGUUAUUAAUUAAAUCGUAUAUUGC